UGGGGAAUAUUGCACAAUGGGCGAAAGCCUGAUGCAGCGACGCCGCGUGAGGGAUGACGGCCUUCGGGUUGUAAACUUCUUUCAGCAGGGACGAAGCGCAAGUGACGGUACCUGCAGAAGAAGCACCGGCUAACUACGUGCCAGCAGCCGCGGUAAUACGUAGGGUGCAAGCGUUGUCCGGAAUUACUGGGCGUAAAGAGUUCGUAGGCGGUUUGUCGCGUCGUUUGUGAAAACCAGCAGCUCAACUGCUGGCUUGCAGGCGAUACGGGCAGACUUGGGUACUGCAGGGGAGACUGGAAUUCCUGGUGUAGCGGUGAAAUGCGCAGAUCUCAGGAGGAACACCGGUGGCGAAGGCGGGUCUCUGGGCAGUAACUGACGCUGAGAAACGAAAGCGUAGGUAGCGAACAGG
rnacentral:rRNA from 1 species